UUAGGGCGCGCUGUGAGCUUUUAAGAAAAUGGAAGGCUUUUAGGUGCACCUUUUAGUGUGGAAAAUACGGUAGAAAGGAUUAAAGGAAGAUUCAAUUCUGGAUCCAGAUGAAUAAAAUAGUCUUCUAUUUGACAGCUCUGCAAUCGUAAAACAAUGCACUUGUACUGGUCAUUUUCAAGGACAAGGGCAUCACUCCCAUUCCGGGUAUCUCAAAGCUGCUUUUACUCGGUGCAUAAUCAAAUAUAUAUUAUAUCGUGUUUGCACCUAUUUAAAAUUCCUGAGCCAGCCGGG